UACGAAGGGGGCUAGCGUUGCUCGGAAUCACUGGGCGUAAAGCGCACGUAGGCGGCUUGUUAAGUCAGGGGUGAAAUCCUGGAGCUCAACUCCAGAACUGCCUUUGAUACUGGCGAGCUUGAGUUCGGGAGAGGUGAGUGGAACUGCGAGUGUAGAGGUGAAAUUCGUAGAUAUUCGGAAGAACACCAGUGGCGAAGGCGGCUCACUGGCCCGGUACUGACGCUGAGGCGCGAAAGCGUGGGGAGCGAACAGG
rnacentral:rRNA from 1 species